rnacentral:rRNA from 1 species
UGCUUCUUUUGGAUGAGUUGCGAACGGGUGAGUAACGCGUAGGUAACCUGCCUUGUAGCGGGGGAUAACUAUUGGAAACGAUAGCUAAUACCGCAUAACAGCUUUUGACACAUGUUAGAAGCUUGAAAGAUGCAAUUGCAUCACUACGAGAUGGACCUGCGUUGUAUUAGCUAGUAGGUAGGGUAACGGCCUACCUAGGCGACGAUACAUAGCCGACCUGAGAGGGUGAUCGGCCACACUGGGACUGAGACACGGCCCAGACUCCUACGGGAGGCAGCAGUAGGGAAUCUUCGGCAAUGGGGGCAACCCUGACCGAGCAACGCCGCGUGAGUGAAGAAGGUUUUCGGAUCGUAAAGCUCUGUUGUAAGAGAAGAACGUGUGUGAGAGUGGAAAGUUCACACAGUGACGGUAACUUACCAGAAAGGGACGGCUAACUACGUGCCAGCAGCCGCGGUAAUACGUAGGUCCCGAGCGUUGUCCGGAUUUAUUGGGCGUAAAGCGAGCGCAGGCGGUUUAAUAAGUCUGAAGUUAAAGGCAGUGGCUUAACCAUUGUUCGCUUUGGAAACUGUUAAACUUGAGUGCAGAAGGGGAGAGUGGAAUUCCAUGGGUAGCG